UUGGUUUGGGGUGUUUUUUCUCAAGGAUUGAGAGCAGCCUGGCAUUAAAUAUACUUGGGAAUUUGAACGAAACCCAGUUCUUAAGCUGGGUUUGGAGUCAAGAAGUUUGUCAGAUCUAUCUUGGCAAGGCCUUACUUAGGCCAUGUACUGCCACCUUUAAACCAGCACCCAAUAUUAAUUCAGAUUUAUUUUUAAAACUGGCAAGAGGUGAAGGAAGCUGAAGAACAAUUUCCAUUUAGUUACUAUGGAACAAAGUAACUAAACUAAAUAGUAACUAAACUAAUAAACUAAACUAAAGUUUUUUUGGAUCAGGAGCAUUAGAGGGUCACAGAGCUGGCAGCAAUUUCCAUGUAUGAAAGGGGAGGGUUUCACUUUCCUACUUUAUCAUAAACAGGGUCAAAAAAAAGAGUGGAUGGAGCUCAGUUUCUGGUCCUGUGCUUCGGGAGUCUGAGCCUGGUUAUUUGUAUGGUGAAGCUACUGCCAAACUGAGGAAGAGUAGAACAAUUAGCAUUAUGGUUCCAGUCCUUUUUUGUAGCCAGGAUCACAGGAGGCCUGAGCAGCCUGUGCCACCUGCACCUUGGAGCUGCUCUGUGCUGGAGCUGGAGACUGGCCUGGUUUGCUGUCUUGGAAAAGUCAGUUUUGUUUUUGGUGGAUCCCUGUCAAAGGCUGAGGAAACGUCUGCUACUGGGAAAACAAACCCUGAUGGAUUAACAAGCUACUUCUCUAGGGGACAAAGGCAAAGAUCUCACACCAAGAGAGGCUGGGCUGAAGUGAGCAGAGCAGCUCCUGGGACCCAGCUGCAGGAGAAGCAGAAGCAGCUGGGACUGCAGGGGCAGGAGCUCGGACACUGCCCUGGUCAGCAGGAGCCUGAGCAUCAACGCAGUUCUGUUGGCAGAAAUACGCUUCUUUACCAGGAUUACAGAAUUCCUUCCAGGAGAUUUCCCUCACUGCCGUGGUUUCACAAGAUCCAGGAGUGCUCAUUGUCAGUGGUGCUGCACUGUGGAAAGCUGACAUGUGGGAAGCUCCUUGCUGAUUCCAGGUGUCUGAAUAAUAUUCUGUGGAAUUAUGGCCCCAGUCCUGCAAGGAGGUCUGCAUGGAUAAAACCAGGGGCCACAUCACUAAAUUGGAAGGAUUUUCACAUUCCUCUCAUUGAAAAGAGGUUCACACUUUAUAGCAAUAGUAACAAGUCCCAUUGCUGAGGAUGAAGUCUGUAAGGGUCAUCACUUGCCAUGUCUGAUUCAACAAUACUGCUUUCCCUUCAGUAUUUUCUGAUAAACAGGACCUAUAUCAGAGAUUAAUAUUUCUACUUGUGUCUUAAUUAUGAAAGUGAAUCUGAAGAGUUUAUACUUCCUUACCAGUAUGUGCUUGUUUAACUACUGCUUGGUCAAGAAAAAUAUAUAUUUUAUAUAUUA